ACCCANNNGAUCGAAUGGGGAGAUUCAUCGUCAGCUCAUUUUGUAUAUGUAUAAGUUAUGAUAUGAGUUACUACUUGUAGUAUUGCUUGCACAUACUUAUACAUUUAGUUGCAAUAUGUUGUCGGCGUGCACUUCUUCCCUAGUAGAACGUCGCGACCCGUUGAGUGUUGGUCUACGACCCGAGUUGGUAGUCUUUGAUAUUUUAUUAUAUCAAAGACCCUUGGUGUUAUCUGACCGGCUACUCGGCGGUACUCAUACGGUAUUGAGCCGCAAUUUUCAAUGCGUCCAUUUUCGUCGCAAGCGAGGCCAAUUUCUGAUAGUACGGACCUAGUGCCGUCGUUGGUAUUGGCCAGCUGUUGGUUGUUACGAUAUUCUGGGACUGGCUCAAAAAAUUACCGGUCUGCGAUGCUACUGCUUUGGGUACUUUCAGGACCCGUCUUGAAACACGGACCAAGGAGUCUAACAUGUGCGCGAGUCAUUGGGAUAUUUUUUAAAUUAAACCUAAAGGCGUAAUGAAAGUAAAGGUCUUCCUUGCGUUGACUGAGGGAGGAUGAGUUGUGUUAUUUAUACAGCUUCGCACUCCCGGGGCGUCUCAUUCUUAUUACAAGAAGAGGCGCACUUAG
rnacentral:rRNA from 1 species